GGGCCCGCACAAGCGGUGGAGCAUGUGGUUUAAUUCGAAGAUACGCGCAGAACCUUACCAACACUUGACAUGUUCGUCGCGACUCUAAGAGAUUAGAGUUUUCGGUUCGGCCGGACGAAACACAGGUGCUGCAUGGCUGUCGUCAGCUCGUGUCGUGAGAUGUUGGGUUAAGUCCCGCAACGAGCGCAACCCUCACUUUUAGUUGCCAUCAUUUAGUUGGGCACUCUGAAAGAACUGCCAGUGAUAAGCUGGAGGAAGGUGGGGAUGACGUCAAGUCCUCAUGGCCCUUACGUGUUGGGCUACACACGUGCUACAAUGGUAUCUACAACAGGAAGCAAAAACUGCGAAGUUAAGCAAAUCCUUAAAAGAUACCUCAGUUCGGAUUGCACUCUGCAACUCGAGUGCAUGAAGCUGGAAUU
rnacentral:rRNA from 1 species